rnacentral:sRNA from 1 species
AUCAACGGAUACAGAAAAUGAAAAACUGUAACUGGGAUUUAAAUGGGAACAUUUGUUAAAAAGAAUAAACUUAAUAAUAGUUCCAAGUGCUCUACAUUUGGACAAAAAAUUAGGCCGUAGUUAAAAGCUGC